rnacentral:rRNA from 1 species
CUGAUAUGAGUAACGAUAAUGCGGGUGAAAAACCCGCACGCCGGAAGUCCCAGGGUUCCUGCACGACGUUAAUCGGAGCAGGGUGAGUCGGCACCUAAGGCGAGGCUGAAGAGCGUAGUCGAUGGAAACCAGGUUAAUAUUCCUGGACUUUUUAUAAGUGGUGAAGUGGGGACGGAGAAGGCUAGAUGAGCCAGGCGUUGGUUGUCCUGGUACGUGCAUGUAGGGGGGAAGACUUGGCAAAUCCGUUUUUCUAUUAACCCUGAGGUGCGAUGUGGUUCUGACCUUUCGGGGUACAGAGAAGUCAUUAAUGCCCGGCUUCCAAGAAAAGCUGCUAGCCAUAACUUAUAGAGAACCGUACCGGAAACCGACACAGGUGGACAGGUAGAGAAUACUAAGGCGCUUGAGAGAACUCGGGUGAAGGAACUAGGAAAAUGGUACCGUAACUUCGGGAGAAGGUACGCCCUUUUUUGUUAGUUUACUUGCUAAACGAAGCGAAAGAGGGCCGCAGAGACCAGGUGGCUGCGACUGUUUAUUAAAAACACAGCACUCUGCUAAUUCGUAAGAAGACGUAUAGGGUGUGACGCCUGCCCGGUGCCGGAAGGUUAAUUGAUGGGGUUAUCUUCGGAGAAGCUCUUGAUCGAAGCCCCGGUAAACGGCGGCCGUAACAAUAACGGUCCUAAGGUAGCGAAAUUCCUUGUCGGGUAAGUUCCGACCUGCACGAAUGGCGUAACGAUGGCCACACUGUCUCCACCCGAGACUCAGUGAAAUUGAAAUCGCUGUGAAGAUGCAGUGUACCCGCGGCUAGACGGAAAGACCCCGUGAACCUUUACUAUAGUUUUGCACUGGACUUUGAUGAUGACUGUGUAGGAUAGGUGGGAGGCAAUGAAGUAUGCACGCUAGUGCGUAUGGAGCCGACGUUGAAAUACCACCCUGUCAUGAUUGAGGUUCUAACUUAGUCCCGUAAUCCGGGACGAGGACCGUGUAUGAUGGGUAGUUUGACUGGGGCGGUCUCCUCCCAAAGAGUAACGGAGGAGCACAAAGGUACCCUCGGUACGGUCGGACAUCGUACCAAGAGUGUAAAGGCAAAAGGGUGCUUGACUGCGAGAGUGACGGCUCGAGCAGGUACGAAAGUAGGUCUUAGUGAUCCGGUGGUUCUGAAUGGAAGGGCCAUCGCUCAACGGAUAAAAGGUACUCCGCGGAUAACAGGCUGAUACCGCCCAAGAGUUCAUAUCGACGGCGGUGUUUGGCACCUCGAUGUCGGCUCAUCACAUCCUGGGGCUGAAGCAGGUCCCAAGGGUAUGGCUGUUCGCCUUUUAAAGUGGUACGCGAGCUGGGUUUAGAACGUCGUGAGACAGUUCGGUCCCUAUCUGCCGUGGGCGUAGGAAAAUUGAGAGGAGCUGCUCCUAGUACGAGAGGACCGGAGUGGACGAACCUCUGGUGUACCGGUUGUCACGCCAGUGGCAUAGCCGGGUAGCUAAGUUCGGACGGGAUAACCGCUGAAAGCAUCUAAGCGGGAAGCCUCCCUCAAGAUGAGUUUUCCCAUGAAGCCCGUUGAAGACUACGACGUUGAUAGGCAAGGUGUGGAAGCGCAGUAAUGUGUGAAGCUAACUUGUACUAAUUGGCUGAUUGUCUUGACU